rnacentral:lncRNA from 1 species
CUAUAUUCAUUCUCCUUCAUUCGAUCUUAAUUUCUCAAAAAGCCAUCAUGGGUGUUUUGACUUUUGAAAAGGAAAUCAAAACUGCAGUUCCACAAGCCACAAUGUUCAAGUCUUUGUCCUUGAAUCCCACACCUUUAUCCCUAAGAUUGUGCCUAACGUUAGCAUAGAGAUCCUUGNNNNNNNNNNNNNNNNNNNNNNNNNNNAGCAUCAAAAAACUACAUUUACCGAUGGUUAGUCUUAAUUGUUAAUAAUUCAUAUACUAUUGUUAAUCAUCAAUCAUAUAUUGUUUUUACAGAUAAAUCAUGUAACCUCAUAGUGAUGGGGAGAAUAACUUCAGUGUCGUUAAGUAAAUUAUUUAUUGUUUUAUAUUUGCAGGUGGUGAUGCCAAGUAUAUCAAAACCAAAGUUGAAGCAACAGACAAAGACAAUUUCACACAUAACUAUACUAUCAUUGGAGGCGAUCCAUGGAGUGAUAACAUAGAGAAGAUUUCUUAUGAGAUAAAAAUAGUGGCUUCUCCUGAUGGAGGAUCCAUUUGCAAGAGCAGCAGCAAGUACUAUCCAAAAGAGGGUUGUGAGCUCGAUGAAGACAAAAUCAAAGCUGGAGCAGAGAAAGCCUUUGGCAUGUUCAAGACUAUUGAAGCUCAUCUCUUGGCAAAUCCUGAUGCUUGCAACUAAAAAGUUAUUGUUUUCUCCCAAAACAGUAAAAACUUCUGUGUUUGAUUUUCAUGGAGUGCUAUGCUUUGUUUUUUUUUUUUUUCAUGAUUUUCUUUUUAUUUCACUUUUGAAUGGAACAGUUAAACCACUGUUGGCGUGAUUACUAAGAGUAUGUAAUAAAAGAGUUUUGAAUAAACGUCGUGUGGACGUUCUCUAUCAAUCCGACUAAAGAAUACGAGAUCCUGAUAUCAUAUGCUCUUCUGUAUGAUCAGUUACGGCUUCUUUAUGCCACUCUCUGUACUGUCAGCUUGUCUACUCUCAUGUAUUUAAAUUGCUUCUAUUAAUAAAAUAUACUUUUUUUUUCUAUAAUAAUUCUUUUUAGAAAUGAGGAUGCAUUUUCUUACAUUAUCUCUUUCCUUUUUACAAAUCCUAUGACCAGAAAGAUUAUAAAAACUAUUUUCAAUCUUUUUAUGAUUUUGACCAAUUCUUUUUUCAAUUUAACAAUUUGCGUCACAAACUCAUACUGUCAUUUAAAAUUACUAGCAAUAUGACUAUAAUUACCGGUCGUCAAAUUAAGAUAUUGGUUAUUGAAAUUCAAAAAAGAUAGAAGUUCAUAAUGUACGUUUAAUGUCAAUGUUAAAAUUUAUUGUCCCAUAUUAGAAAUAAAUCUUGUAGGACCGUCAGGCAAGGAAACUAAGGAAGCCGGAAGUUAAAAGAAUUCGAGAUCUCGGAGUCGGGUCGAGGAACACAAAGAGUUAAUGGUAUUUCAUAACUAAUCGAUUACCCGGAAAGAAGAAGGGCCGGUGGUGGACAUUCGAGAAAGUCGGGCCGAUCAGGUGUCUUAACUGCAUCUUUCCAUUUUUGAUUUGCAACGGCCAUCAAGGACGAAGUAUGAUAAAUAAUAAAUAAGAAUCGUAUUAUAGGAGCAAUUCGUUUGAAAUCUAUAGCAAUCUUAAUUUUAAUUGAGAGGGAACAAAAGACACAUUAUUUGUAACUUUAUUUCUCAGAAGUAGUCAUAGAAUUCUCUAAUUUCCAUUCUCCAAUUUUUCACUUUUUGCUAAAUACAAAUUUACAAAAAGGCUUGUCAUAUUUCAGAAGUGAUGUGCCCGAAACUUACGGUAAACUUAAUUCUAAUUGAAAAGGGAAAAGAUGCUUUAAGAAAAGUGUAACUUUCAGUGUUUCAAGUCUUUUAGAUUGUAAUUUUUCUAAUAAUAACUGAGUUAUCAGAAUGUACAUCUGUCUAUACACUAUGUUCUUACAGUGGUUAAUAAUAUAAAAGAACUUUAGAAGACCUGGAAUAUAAUUGAAGUAUAAGUAUAGUUACAGUUUUGAGUUUGUAAUUAGAGAAUGAAAGAGAUGAAUAAGAGGGAUAGUAAUAUAGUUAUAAAGUUCUAAUCUGUUUAAUUUAAUUAUUUAAUUAGAAUAAAUAAAGACUGUUAUUGGAGGCAAUCCUGAAGUGAUAAUUUGGAGAAAAUGUCUUGUAACAUAAAAAUAAUGAAUUCUCCUGUUGCAAAAGGAGCAGUAAAUACUAUCCAAAUGAGGGCUGUGAGGAUGCAUUUUCUUACACUGUCUCUUUCCUUUCUUGACUUUGACCAAUUCUUUUUUUUUUUUUUUUCAUUUAACAAUUGGUAUCGCAAACUCAUAAUGUCAUAAAAUGGAAAAUAGUAGCAAAGCAAUUGCUAUUUAUGAUUAUAAUUACUGAACGUCAAAAUUAAAAAAAUAUUGGUUAAUGUCGCAUAAUUAGAAAAACAAAAAGCUUGUCGUAUUCUAGAAACAAUUGGUUUGAAAUUUACAGCAAUCUUAAUUUUAAUUGAGAGGGGACAAAAACACAUUAUUUGUUAUUUUAUUAACUGAUUUUUUUUUUAGAAAUCAUAAUUCGAUAAUUGUAACUUUAUUUCUCAGAAGAUAUAAAAUUCUCUAUUUUUCUAUUCUUGAAUUUUACUAUCUGCCAAAUACAAAUUCACAAAAGGCUUGUCAUAUUCUUAUAAGUGACGUGGCAGAAAUUCAUAGUAAUUUUAAUUGUAAUUGAAAGGGGGAAAAGGUGCUUUAUACGUUUCAAGUCUUCUAUAUUAUAAUUUUGCAACAAUAACUAAGUUAUAAGAAUGUAUAUCUGGCUUCCUAUUCACAAUGGUUAAUAAUAUAACACAACUUCAACUUCAACUUCAACUCUCAAAUAAAAUUAUUUAAUACUAAUAAAUAUAUAUUAAUUUGAUAUAUUAUUAAAAAAUAUCAGAUAAAUAUUUGCUUAAAAUUUUUUAAGUAUUAUGUCUAGAUGCAGAUUUGGUAAAUAAGCAGAACUGAAUAUACAUGUGUCAAUUAUUGGUUUGUACAAAAUAUAAUUAUGAAAUUUUACCUUUCAAAUUAUUAUUAUUAUUAUUAUUAUUUAUCAUAUUCUUUUAAAAAAUUUGUAAGAGAAUGAUACGUUGAGAUAUCUUGCAUUACAAGAUAAGCUUUAGAAUUUAGAAAAUAUAAUUUAAUUUUUAAUAUAAAAAAAAUCUCAAAAACAUAAUAUAUAUAUAUAUAUAUCUGGAUGAGCACAAAAGUCAUGGUAUUAACGUAAAAAAUCCGAAAAAUGCGGUCCCUUAACAACGGAGUGAGAAGAGGUUUGAUGACGGCAACAGGUUUUAAAAGUCAACUAUUCUCGCAAAGAAUCUUCAACAGUCUCCUCCAAAAUAAGCAGCCCGGAUUGACCGUCAGGAAAAACAUUUCAUAUUAAUUAGAAUUUUUUAUAUUAUUUUCUGGGCCCACAUUGCCUGAGCUCCGUCGCUCUCCUUGUACAAUCUUAUCUAGGUUUUUUCUUUUUUCUUUCUCUUUUUGUCAUGCAUGUAUGGAAUUUAAAGCAAAAACCAGAUAGGAUCCUAAAUGAAUAAUUGGAAAAUGCUAUUAACUUUUAUAGCAGAGUAACUCCAUAAGGAAAAGUCGAUAUCCAUAUAUAUCUAAUAAGACCUUUCAUUUCCAUUGACGGCAAGCCGGCAAUUAUAUAUUUUUCCGAAUUCUGUCGGCACUAUUCUAUUCAUUUCUACAGGCAAUUAUUUCCUAAAAUACUGGUUUAGAAAACAUAACUUUUCAGAAUAUCUAGAAGGUAAUGGAAUCAUAUUAAUACAUAUUACCCCACCAGCUUUUUAUUUAAUUCAUUCUCAAGCUUGCUUUCUAUGACUUUUCAGCAAAUUCGUUUGCUUCUAUAAGUACUUCCCUAUGCUCUUGCAUUUUGCCACACCUCACUUCGAUAUACAUUCUACAAAUCCUUAAAUCUUCUUCCUCGUUCAUUCCCUUCACCUCAUCUUUUACCAGAAGCCAUCAUGGGUGUUUUGACUUUUGAGAAGGAAAUUACAACUUCAAUCCCACAAGCCAAAAUGUUCAAGGCCUUUAUUCUUGAAUCUGACACUCUUAUCCCUAAGGUUUUGCCUCAGGUUAGUAUAGAGUUCCUUGAAGGAAAUGGCGGACCCGGAACCAUCAAGAAAACUUCCUUUGCUGAAGGUUAGUUUUAAUUGUUCUAAGGACAUAUAU